UGGGGAAUAUUGGACAAUGGGGGGAACCCUGAUCCAGCCAUGCCGCGUGUGUGAAGAAGGCCUUAUGGUUGUAAAGCACUUUAAGCGAGGAGGAGGGUACUGGUAUUAAUACUACCAGGUGCUGGACGUUACUCGCAGAAUAAGCACCGGCUAACUCUGUGCCAGCAGCCGCGGUAAUACAGAGGGUGCGAGCGUUAAUCGGAUUUACUGGGCGUAAAGCGUGCGUAGGCGGCUGAUUGAGUCGGAUGUGAAAUCCCCGAGCUUAACUUGGGAAUUGCAUUCGAUACUGGUUAGCUAGAGUGUGAGAGAGGAUGGUAGAAUUCCAGGUGUAGCGGUGAAAUGCGUAGAGAUCUGGAGGAAUACCGAUGGCGAAGGCAGCCAUCUGGCCUAACACUGACGCUGAGGUACGAAAGCAUGGGGAGCAAACAGG
rnacentral:rRNA from 1 species